ACAUGCAAGUCGAACGGUAACAGAGAGCAGCUUGCUGCUCUGCUGACGAGUGGCGGACGGGUGAGUAAUGUCUGGGAAACUGCCUGAUGGAGGGGGAUAACUACUGGAAACGGUAGCUAAUACCGCAUAACGUCUACGGACCAAAGUGGGGGACCUUCGGGCCUCAUGCCAUCAGAUGUGCCCAGAUGGGAUUAGCUAGUAGGUGGGGUAACGGCUCACCUAGGCGACGAUCCCUAGCUGGUCUGAGAGGAUGACCAGCCACACUGGAACUGAGACACGGUCCAGACUCCUACGGGAGGCAGCAGUGGGGAAUAUUGCACAAUGGGCGCAAGCCUGAUGCAGCCAUGCCGCGUGUAUGAAGAAGGCCUUCGGGUUGUAAAGUACUUUCAGCGGGGAGGAAGGCGUUGUGGUUAAUAACCACAGCGAUUGACGUUACCCGCAGAAGAAGCACCGGCUAACUCCGUGCCAGCAGCCGCGGUAAUACGGAGGGUGCAAGCGUUAAUCGGAAUUACUGGGCGUAAAGCGCACGCAGGCGGUCUGUUAAGUCAGAUGUGAAAUCCCCGGGCUCAACCUGGGAACUGCAUUUGAAACUGGCAGGCUUGAGUCUCGUAGAGGGGGGUAGAAUUCCAGGUGUAGCGGUGAAAUGCGUAGAGAUCUGGAGGAAUACCGGUGGCGAAGGCGGCCCCCUGGACGAAGACUGACGCUCAGGUGCGAAAGCGUGGGGAGCAAACAGGAUUAGAUACCCUGGUAGUCCACGCCGUAAACGAUGUCGACUUGGAGGUUGUGCCCUUGAGGCGUGGCUUCCGGAGCUAACGCGUUAAGUCGACCGCCUGGGGAGUACGGCCGCAAGGUUAAAACUCAAAUGAAUUGACGGGGGCCCGCACAAGCGGUGGAGCAUGUGGUUUAAUUCGAUGCAACGCGAAGAACCUUACCUGGUCUUGACAUCCAGAGAAUCCUGCAGAGAUGCGGGAGUGCCUUCGGGAACUCUGAGACAGGUGCUGCAUGGCUGUCGUCAGCUCGUGUUGUGAAAUGUUGGGUUAAGUCCCGCAACGAGCGCAACCCUUAUCCUUUGUUGCCAGCGGUCCGGCCGGGAACUCAAAGGAGACUGCC
rnacentral:rRNA from 1 species